CCUACGGGUGGCAGCAGUGGGGAAUAUUGGACAAUGGGGGAAACCCUGAUCCAGCGACGCCGCGUGAGUGAAGAAGUAUUUCGGUACGUAAAGCUCUUUCAGCAGGAAAGAAAAUGACGGUAGCUGACUACGAAGCCACUGCUAACUACGUGCCAGCAGCCGCGGUAAUACGGAGGGGGCAAGCGUUAUCCGGAUUUACUGGGUGUAACGGGAGCGGAGGCGGCAUGGCAAGUCUGGAGUGAAAUGCCGGGGCCCAAACCCGGAACUGCUCUGGAAACUGGGAAGCUGGAGUGCAGGAGAGGUAAGCGGAAUGCCUGGUGUAGCGGUGAAAUGCGUAGAUAUCAGGAGGAACACCGGCGGCGAAGGCGGCUUACUGGACUGUAACUGACGUUGAGGCUCGAAGGCGUGGGGAGCAAACAGGAUUAGAUACCCGAGUAGUC
rnacentral:rRNA from 1 species